GAUGAACGCUGGCGGCGUGCCUAAUACAUGCAAGUCGAGCGAACAGACGAGGAGCUUGCUCCUCUGACGUUAGCGGCGGACGGGUGAGUAACACGUGGAUAACCUACCUAUAAGACUGGGAUAACUUCGGGAAACCGGAGCUAAUACCGGAUAAUAUAUUGAACCGCAUGGUUCAAUAGUGAAAGACGGUUUUGCUGUCACUUAUAGAUGGAUCCGCGCCGCAUUAGCUAGUUGGUAAGGUAACGGCUUACCAAGGCAACGAUCCGUAGCCGACCUGAGAGGUGGAUCGCCCCAACUGGAACUGAGCCACGGUCCAGACUCCUACGGGAGGCAGCAGUAGGGAAUCUUCGGCAAUGGGCGAAAGCCUGACGGAGCAACGCCGCGUGAGUGAUGAAGUUCUUCGGAUCGUAAAACUCUGUUAUUAGGGAAGAACAAAUGUGUAAGUAACUAUGCACGUCUUGACGGUACCUAAUCAGAAAGCCACGGCUAACUACGUG
rnacentral:rRNA from 1 species